rnacentral:tmRNA from 1 species
GGGGAUGUAAAGGUUUCGACGGGAACGCCGAAACAGGAAUAGCGAGCCGUAGUUGCCGAGUCUACGUAAAAAGCGGCGCGUUAAAGAUAAACGGAAAAACUAAAACAAAUCUCGCACUCGCUGCUUAAGCAGCCCGCGACGUCGGCCUGAAUCCACCCACAGGUACAGGGCCCGGCGCAAGAAUGUGGGAAAACUCUUGGGUGACUCCCGUAGCCUGAGGGGAACAACGGGAUAGCAAGGGCCGGUACGCGCCGGUGAAGAUCGGUCCGAGUGAAUAAAUUAGCGCCGGCUGCGCUCGGAGAAAUUCUUGAUGGACACGUUUUCGGACGCGGGUUCGACUCCCGCCAUCUCCACCA